UGUUAUUAAAUAAAUUUAAUUAAAAAUUAAUUUAAUUAAUAAUACGAUAAACAAUUAAUACAAAUAAUAUAUAGGUUUAUUGGAAAUCGAACUAGUUCAAGUUAAAAAAUAAAAGUGAUCGUGGAAGUGUUUUGGACAGUUUUUUUUUGAACAGUUGUUAUUGUUUGAAAAGUGAAAAUGAAACCAAUCGGGAUUUAUGAAUUUGUGGUGUUCCUAUGCCUGACAAUUUCCCAAAUAUCAGCCAUCUACGUACCAUUUGGAACCAAAACGAAUUUCGCUCCAAAUAGUUUAUCUUCCAACGAUGACUAUUUGUCACAAG